rnacentral:lncRNA from 1 species
UCUAUAGGUUCCUCAUGUGUAACCGGAACAUUCGAAGAUCCAAUAGCAGUUUGUUGUUCAGUGCUGUUUGUUUCGGUCGAGUUUGGAGUACCUUGAACAAUGCGGUGCGCUCGCACGGGUCUUCUAGGCAUUUUAUCUGCAAUACAAAUAAAUUAGUUGAAAACUUAAUAUACAGUGCUGUUUGUUUCGGUCGAGUUUGGAGUACCUUGAACAAUGCGGUGCGCUCGCACGGGUCUUCUAGGCAUUUUAUCUACAAUACAAAUAAAUUAGUUGAAAACUUAAUAUACAAUUACAACAAUAAUAAUAUGUUUAAAAUAGUUGAAAUAUAUAAUAAGACCAAUAUUAUGAUAUGAUAUUACAAUAAUUAAAUAAUCGUAAAAGCUUACUAUAUUAUAAUCCAUAAAUAUCUUCAUCCGUAUCCUGGCGGACCCAUUGACUGUGUGUACUAGUACUAGGGAUGUUUUCGUUUAAGUUUUGUUCUGGAAAUG